rnacentral:hammerhead_ribozyme from 1 species
AUCCAACUGACAAGUCCCAAAUAGGACGAAGUGAGCAUCAUGGAU